GCUGGGUACAGUGGUGCUUGCCUGUAAUCCCAGUGGUUUGGGAGGCUGAGGCAGGAGGAUCAAGAAUUCUAAGCCAGCCUCAGCAAAAGUGAGAUGCUAAGUUAAGUAACUCAGUAAGACCCUGUCUCUA
rnacentral:sRNA from 1 species